rnacentral:rRNA from 1 species
AGUGAACGCUGGCGGUAGGCCUAACACAUGCAAGUCGAACGGCAGCACAGUAAGAGCUUGCUCUUACGGGUGGCGAGUGGCGGACGGGUUAGGAAUACAUCUGUCUCUACUUUUUCGUGGGGGAUAACGUAGGGAAACUUACGCUAAUACCGCAUACGACCUACGGGUGAAAGCAGGUGAUCUUCGGACCUUGCGCGAUUGAAUGAGCCGAUGUCGGAUUAGCUAGUUGGCGGGGUAAAGGCCCACCAAGGCGACGAUCCGUAGCUGGUCUGAGAGGAUGAUCAGCCACACUGGAACUGAGACACGGUCCAGACUCCUACGGGAGGCAGCAGUGGGGAAUAUUGGACAAUGGGCGCAAGCCUGAUCCAGCCAUACCGCGUGGGUGAAGAAGGCCUUCGGGUUGUAAAGCACUUUUGUUGGGAAAGAAAAGCAGCAGGUUAAUACCCCGCUGUUCUGACGGUACCCAAAGAAUAAGCACCGGCUAACUUCGUG